rnacentral:tRNA from 1 species
CCAGUUAGCUCAGUGGUAGAGCACACGCUUAGCAUGCACGAGGUCCUGGGUUCAAUCCCCAGUACCUGCA